AAGUCGUAACAAGGUUUCCGUAGGUGAACCUGCGGAAGGAUCAUUACAAAUCACGUCACCGUGUGUGAUCGUGUCAUUGACCCUGUUGAAACGUGAGUGGGGGCGCGGCCAGCAGCCAAUUGGAAGCGAUGGCGACGCCCCCAUUUCCUUUUAUGGACGACUCUGGAUGGACAUGAGAGGCGCGCCGUGCGUGCAUGUGCGUGCCUCGUAUCAUAUCAUUGAGAACAAUGAUCAACUUUUAACAAUGGAUCUCUUGGCUCUU
rnacentral:misc_RNA from 1 species